UACGAAGGGGGCUAGCGUUGCUCGGAAUUACUGGGCGUAAAGCGCACGUAGGCGGCUCGUUGUGUCGGCGGUGAAAGCCCGGGCUUAACCUGGGAAUGGCCGUUGAAACUGGCGAACUGGAGUGUGGCAGAGGGGGUGGAAUUCCGCGUGUAGCAGGUGAAAUGCGUAGAGAUGCGGAGGAACACCGAUGGCGAAGGCAGCCCCCUGGGCUAACACUGACGCUCAGGCACGAAAGCGUGGGGAGCAAACAGGAUUAGACUACCGUGGUAG
rnacentral:rRNA from 1 species